rnacentral:rRNA from 1 species
GAUGAACGCUGGCGGCGUGCCUAAUACAUGCAAGUCGAGCGAACGGACGAGAAGCUUGCUUUUCUGAUGUUAGCGGCGGACGGGUGAGUAACACGUGGAUAACCUACCUAUAAGACUGGGAUAACUUCGGGAAACCGGAGCUAAUACCGGAUAAUAGUUUGAACCGCAUGGUUCAAAAGUGAAAGACGGUCUUGCUGUCACUUAUAGAUGGAUCCGCGCUGCAUUAGCUAGUUGGUAAGGUAACGGCUUACCAAGGCAACGAGGCAUAGCCGACCUGAGAGGGUGAUCGGCCACACUGGAACUGAGACACGGUCCAGACUCCUACGGGAGGCAGCAGUAGGGAAUCUUCCGCAAUGGGCGAAAGCCUGACGGAGCAACGCCGCGUGAGUGAUGAAGGUCUUCGGAUCGUAAAACUCUGUUAUUAGGGAAGAACAUAUGUGUAAGUAACUGUGCACAUCUUGACGGUACCUAAUCAGAAAGCCACGGCUAACUACGUG